rfam:Schistosoma curassoni strain Dakar, Senegal genome assembly, scaffold: SCTD_scaffold0001195
AUCCAGCUAACAAGUCCAAAAUAGGAUGAAACACAUGUCAUGGAU